UUGUAUUUUGAUACGCUUCUCUCUCUAGGCCAGAAAGAUCAUUAGUCGGAUUUUUAUGGGUGUCAUUUCCAUUGAUUAAGCAAAAUCAUGAAAAUCCUACAAAAAAAAAAAAAAAAAAUAGUAAGUAGUGCGUGACCAUCCACUAAGCGUCGGCCACCACCCUUCCAGUCUCGACAAGAAGCUCGAAGCGCGGAGAGUCGAAACUUUAGUCAAGACCACCGACGCCCUACACACUCGACGUUGACGGUGCUGAAGCUGGUGCUUCCUUGUACCUUGUGUCGCUGCCUACCAACCUGCGAUUUGCUUAUAAAAGGACUUGCCACAUCAACUGAGCUGAACUCACAAGAAAUGACUACUGAGAAAACAUUAAAAAUUGCCAUGUGCUACAAGACGAGCCUUCCCAGAAAGGAAAUUUAAUGAUUCAAGCUUCAUCGUGAGCUAUUCUCUAUAACCACAGUUUGAGUUGAGGACCGUGAAGUCCAGCCCCAAGUCCUGCACGUCCCCUUGGUAGGUCUUGAGGGAGAGCAGGUUGCGGCACAACUCUGGAUCCAGAGAAUCCAAGUGGUGAAUCUCAGCCGAGGAAGAGGACCGACCUAG